GAUGAACGCUGGCGGCGUGCCUAAUACAUGCAAGUCGAGCGAACAGAUAAGGAGCUUGCUCCUUUGACGUUAGCGGCGGACGGGUGAGUAACACGUGGGUAACCUACCUAUAAGACUGGGAUAACUUCGGGAAACCGGAGCUAAUACCGGAUAACAUUUGGAACCGCAUGGUUCUAAAGUGAAAGAUGGUUUUGCUAUCACUUAUAGAUGGACCCUCGCCGUAUUAGCUAGUUGGUAAGGUAACGGCUUACCAAGGCGACGAUACGAAGCCGACCUGAGAGGGUGAUCGGCCACCUUGGAACUGAGACACGGUCAAGACGCCUACGGGAGGCAGCAGUAGGGAAUCUUACGCAAUGGGCGAAAGCCUGACGGAGCAACGCCGCGUGAGUGAUGAAGGGUUUCGGCUCGUAAAACUCUGUUAUUAGUGAAGAACAAAUGUGUAAGUAACCGUGCACGUCUUGACGGUACCUAAUCAGAAAGCCACGGCUAACUACGUG
rnacentral:rRNA from 1 species